rnacentral:pre_miRNA from 1 species
GGGGUGAGGCCGGAUCCUGGGCUGUGUCCCCAGCGCCCUGUGCUCCCAGGCCUGCGCUGUUGGAUUUGCGCUUCCAGCCGCGCAGCCCCCU